rnacentral:rRNA from 1 species
CAGUAGCCGCGGUAAUACGUAGGGUGCGAGCGUUAAUCGGAAUUACUGGGCGUAAAGCGGGCGCAGACGGUUACUUAAGCAGGAUGUGAAACCCCCGGGCUCAACCUGGGAACUGCGUUCUGAACUGGGUGACUAGAGUGUGUCAGAGGGAGGUAGAAUUCCACGCGUAGCAGUGAAAUGCGUAGAGAUGUGGAGGAAUACCGAUGGCGAAGGCAGCCUCCUGGGAUAACACUGACGUUCAUGCCCGAAAGCGUGGGUAGCAAACAGGAUUAGAUACCCCGGUAGUCCCUGUCUCUUAUAC